ACUUACUUCGCAUGAUGACCAGUUGGGCCAUCGUCUGUGAUGUGUGGUACAUGCCCCCCAUGACUAAAGAGGAAGGAGAAGAUGCAGUCCAGUUUGCUAACAGGGUUAAGUCUGCUAUUGCAGUACAAGGAGGAUUGACUGAACUUCCCUGGGAUGGAGGGCUGAAGAGAGCAAAGGUGAAGGACACCUUUAAGGAAGAGCAGCAGAAGAAUUAUAGCAAAAUGAUUGUGGGCAACGGAUCUCCCAACUUGGAAUCAGACUGAGGCCACCCCUGAUGCUACCCUGUAGAUAAACUCGGCUUCCCAGAACUACCUUAGAAGUGAAGUGUUUUUUGGGGAGGGGGGUUUGUUUCAUUUUAUUAUUUUGUUUUGUUUAUUGUUAAUAUUUUCUACAGGAUGAUUGUCUCUACCUCUUUAUACCAGAGGCAGAACCUACAGGUGACCUGUUGUGGCUUUCCUGAGGCUGUUGGAGCACUAGCCUCAUCAAUUGUAAGGUAGUUGACUGAGGCAAAACAGAUUCUGCCUUUUGUAAAAUGAUGGUGUCAUUGGUGAUUGAAUGAAAUAUUUUUACAGGGACAAGUGCUUCUAGGGAGUAUUUGAACCUCGUUCAUAGGGUAAAUUCUUGGAAACUAUCCCAACUAUCUGUGUCCACAAUUUGCUUUUCUUCACUUACACAAUGGGGGGUCACACAACAAUGUGAGGUUACCAUUGGGGUUCUGUGUUACUAUAAAGUUGAAAAGAAAAAUGGAACCUUGUAUUUUAGGGUGAAGGACAACUUUGUGGUGACCUGACCAGAAAGCCAAAAGGAAGUAUAAAUUAUUUUUUCCCUAAUGUGUUGGGACAGUAAUACUAUUUGGUAAGCUUCACCAAAGAAAAAUUGAGUGGAAGUAAAGGUGUGUAUGUAUUUAUGUAUAGGAGACUCACAACACAUUUCAACCAUCAAUGGUGAUUAAUAGCUUAGUUAGUUUUUCUUGUGUGUAUGCUAAAGAUUCCCUUCCAUCUACCAACUUGUUUGUUUUUGUAACCAAACACAUUUUCAAAUAUAAGGAACCUUAAAAAAAAAAAGUCACAUUGGGUAUCUUCAGUAUGAAUGAGUGAAAGCCGCCCCUCACCCUCCCACCCUUAGUGGUUUAUUCUCAGAUCUUCCUGGUCUUUUAAGCAGAAAAACAAGUGGUAUCAUUACCUUUUGGAAACUGAGCCUUAAAUAUUUUUAAAGGGGGGAAAUAAGCAUUCCCUAACUCAAAUAGCAUAAGCAAUGUUGGAUAGCAAUAUAAUACCACUGUAAACUCUUGAGUAUUAUCUCUCCUGGUAACCUUGUACAGAAUGUGAACUGUCUUACCAUGAACAUAAAUAAAUUUUAUAUUUUU
rnacentral:lncRNA from 1 species